rnacentral:tRNA from 1 species
AAAGUUCUAGUCUAAUAAAGACAAUUGAUUUCGACUCAAUUAAUUAUGGUUUAACUCCAUAGAACUUUA